rnacentral:ncRNA from 1 species
GAACGAGACCGUCGGGGUAAAUAACCCUGGAGGAUGACGGUAGCGGAAGAAGAAGCACCGGCUAACGAGGUGCCAGCAGGCGCGGUCAUACGUAGGGUGUGGGCGUUAAUCGGAAUUACUGGGCGUAAAGCGUGCGCAGGCGGUCCGCUAAGACCGAUGUGAAAUCCCCGGGCUUAAACUGGGAACUGAAUUGGUGACUGGCGGGCUAGAGUAUGGGAGAGGGGGGUAGAAUUCCACGUGUAGCAGUGAAAUGCGUAGAGAUGUGGAGGAAUACCGAUGGCGAAGGCAGCCCCCUGGGCCAAUACUGAUGCUCAUGCACGAAAGCGUGGGGAGCAAACCGGAUUAGAUACCCUGGUAGUCCACGCCCUAAACGAUGUCAACUAGUUGUCGGGUCUCCAUUUACUUGGCAGUGGAGCUCAAGCGCGAAGUGUACCGCCGCGGGAGUA